AUAAUAGAAAGUUCGAGGUUGGAAAAUGCACCGCUGCUGCCCUCGGCGGCCAUCUUGCAUCCACAAUGCAAGCAGUCACUACACCAGCACACAAAUUACAAUCAAAUUCACUCACAUCGAAUUACAGCAAUAUUACACAUCAGUUGCACUGAUAGUAAACUUGACACUGACAUUUUACCAACCGGCGCACGGAUUGAUGUAGGUACUCGUAGUGUAUAAUGUGUUGUCUACUCAUCAACACAACUUGAAUGAUCAGUGCGGGUUGAUGGUGUGGUCGUGUGGCGGACGUGGACCUGUAGACGCGAACGCGGACGCGACUGCGACUCAACUGCGGCGCUGCGACGUCGGGCGGCUUGCACAAAAUGCACUCGAGAUGGUGUGAGUUGGGUGGCGGUGCAUGUGUAUGUGCAAUGUCAGUGUAAUGCAUAUUGCCAAUGCCAACAAAGCCAACCAACAAGCAAUAAGUGAGGUGAGAAACAUUUUGUCCUUGACGAGACCUAGGUUUAGGCAUGUUUGAUUGCGCGCCGACGGCGUCUGGAGCACCGUCUAGACUGCGGGCGGGUUGGAAAGGAAAAGGAAGAGGAAGAUGCGCGCCCCUGAUCAAUACGCCGCUCGACGCGCACACAUACCCACUGGUAUCACAAGAGCAAGCGAGCGCAAAGAAGGAAGAAGCGGGACGUGCGCGUUGCACACCCGAGUGUCGCAGGUCAUUGCCACCGCACCACGGAGAGCCCCAACUGGAGAAACUCAGCGCGUACUCCCGACCGGUUCGCACACACACACGCACACACAGCAACACACAAUCAUACAAUAAGGGUAGGUAAGCAACCAAACAACCAUCAAAAGAAUAAAGAAAGAAGCAUUCUUAUUUGGUUGAGCAUAUUUUUCAAACGCGCCAAGAUUUUUAUGUUAUGACGUAACUGGUCCGUCGAGAUGCAACUGUGACGUUGGUAUAAAUUAUAUUAGGGUGCAAAUCAGGGUGCAUGUUAUACAAGGGGUUUGUUCAAAGGGGCGGAGUGUAAAAAUGGCGGACACAAAGCGCGAUUUUCAUUUUUGCGUCUGGUGCGAUUUUUACCCGAGGUGGAAACAGGUAAAUUUUUCCGAAUUGUGGAUGGAUUUAGAGGGUAUUCAAUUGGCAUGGAGGGCUAGCCGGGUGGAAAAUGAGAUUUAUGCGAUACUCGGUGGGAAUAACGAACGAAAUUAACGGAAAUUUCUGAUUUUUAUUCAGUUACUUACGUUUUUUUCAGUUUAAAUCCGUUUGGUUAUCACAAAUCCGCUGUACGCAUGGUUGUCACGCUGUCAAACAUUCACACGCACACACUGAUAAGUUUUUUAGCUCAAAAAGUCACAAUAACCAAUUUUUUUCAUUGAAAAACCAAGAAAUUUACACUUUUUUGAGUUUAUUUUAUGUUUUUUAUUGUUUUUAUUAAUUUUAUUGAGUUUUCCAGGUGUUAUUCACUUGGAAAAUGUUUUUGCGUGCUUUUGGAACUUUGUUUCGGUGGUUUUUGUUUAUAAAACGUGUAAAAAAUCAAGAUGAGUGCGCGAGUUCGCGAAAAAAUUGGCACACACAAUGUCGGUGACAAAAAUAUAACGUUUUGCUAACGCGGGCGACAUCUAUACACCAUAACCUUUACUUAUAUUACUCAUAUAUAAUCGUGUAUUGUGCUUUUACUGUAUGCAACCCAAUAUACACCAAUGUUAUGUCAGUGGUG